rnacentral:rRNA from 1 species
GGCGAACGGGUGAGUAACACGUGAGUAACCUGCCCUUGACUUUGGGAUAACUUCAGGAAACUGGGGCUAAUACCGGAUAGGAGCUCCUGCUGCAUGGUGGGGGUUGGGAAAGUUUCGGCGGUUGGGGAUGGACUCGCGGCUUAUCAGCUUGCUGGUGGGGUAGUGGCUUACCAAGGCUUUGACGGGUAGCCGGCCUGAGAGGGUGACCGGCCACAUUGGGACUGAGAUACGGCCCAG